UUCACAUCGUCAUCAUGUAGGCACCAGGGCGCCAGGGCCAGAAGUGGUGCCGGUCCCUUCCGCAUCCUUGCUGUUCUCCCCGCUGAGGGUCUGAUCACUGCCGCUCUCAGGCACCUGUCUUUCCUCUCCGUGCCGGAAUGGAGCCAAGACAAAGGAAUAAAAGAAAUUAAAUAGUACAAGGAGAUCGGGUGUCUGAGCAGCGUCUUGGAUAAUGCCGUCCACUACAGAACCCCUAAAGGAAAAAGACCUCAUCCUAAUAAUCUCUGGAUAGCACCUGCUAGAUAGGAAAAAAAUCACAUGGAAUGAAGGUAUACACACAGAAAUCACACCCUGAAGAUUUUUCCUGUUUAGUUCUAAGCCGUGACCAUGAUGAAGUUUCUGGAAACGAUGACAAAAGAGAAGCUCUUCUGAAGCAAAUGUCUUGAUUUUCCACCUACACCAAUCCAUCCUAUCCAAUGUUACCAACUAAAAUUUCAACUAACCCUCUGAUCCCGUUUCUUUGUCUAUAAAAAGAGGAUAAGUAAUACUAUUAUUAAGUGGCAGCUCUCAGAUUCCACCUAGGAAUGAUGCCUCUGUAUUUAAUACGGCCGAUGCCUUUCCACACAUCAGAUGCUUAACAUAUAAUUUUUAAAUUUAAAUUAAAAGAUUAAAGAAAUUUAGGAUGUUUUUACUUAGGAAUAGAAGGAAGAGACAUGAUAACUACCUUCAGAUAUUUGAAAAGGAUGUCACACAGAAGGCAGAUUUCAUAAUUUAUGCAAUUCCAGAGAGUAAUAAGUGGGAGUUACAACAUGGCAGGGUUUGCUCAAUAGAGUUAAGCAGUGCUGAAGGUAAGCUAUAAGAAUUUUUAAAUCUUAUUCUCAUUUUGGUGGCAAUGUAAGAAAAAGAAAAGGAAAAAAGCAUGUUAUGGAUCAUCUAGAAGAUCUCUAUAUAGAUCUCUAUCAUUGUUAGAAACGUUCUGUGUUUGAAGUUGCAUUUGUUUAUGAUCAAAUUGGUACCAAAUGAUCACUAAAAGGAACAGGGUUACAUUUUUCAACAUGGUACACACAGAUUGAGGUCACUGGGCACAUCUCAAAGGUUCACAAGGAUUACUUUGCUCCAGAAGAGAUCUAAACAGUAGUCAGGGUUGAGAAAUGCUGGGAUAAAGAACUUUCUAACAUUUAAAGCUGCAAAAAUGUGAGAGUGCUUUUUGUGUGUGUCUAAGAAAAUUCUCACAGCAGACUGGCAAAUUUGUAAACACAAUUAUAGAAGAUACUCCUGUGAUGGCUGAUAUUAAAAUAAAUAAUAAAACAAAUAAAAAAAAUUCAA